UCUUGAUUUAAAUGAACUUGUCCACCGCCCAAAAGGAGGAGGGCUGGUUCUUCUUACAAGUGUCACGCAAUGGUGAGAGCAUACAUGGGCAUCUGACUUACGGGCUUCCAAUUGCAGCUGCCCUUUAGAAGAUACCAGCAUUGGACUUGAAGUUGCGUGUGCUUAAAGGUGCAACAUGCAGGAGAAAUAAUCACUUGUCAGUAUGCCUCCGAAGGUCUUACAAUAAAGCAAGCAGUGUUUGCAAAAGUGCCAGGUUUCAUAAGACAGGGAGAGAAUUCUGUAGGUGCCAUGGCAGACUUCCCAGAUGUGCAUUGGGGGAGGGGAAAUGGGGAAAUUAUGACAAAGAAAAGCCACCACCCCUAACAGGUGGAAGAGCUGGAUGAAGAAAUCACUUGAAUUUAGAAUAUCAAUAGAAGGCCCCCAGAGUGGGUUUUAGGAGGGUUAUCCCACCAACAAACACAUUUGACACAUAAGGAUGGUUUUAAAUAAGUAAGUAGAAUUGAUUCCUAAAUCAUACUUCUGCAUUCAGGAGCAAUAGAUGUCAAUCAAACAUGGGUGACAUUUGCUUGUCAAUACGGAAUGAUGGCUGGGAAGACAGUAACUUAUUACAACAGGGUGAGAAUCUGAAAUGAGAAACAGGAACAAAUAAUAAUAUAACAAGCAAGUAAUAAAUCCUAAGUGACUAUCAGCAAACCGUGGUCUUGUCUGUAGGCUCCACAGCACGGCAUCUCCUUCAAGAUUCUGCAGCCUCUCCCCAUUCUCCCCUAUCUCAACAGUUAAGUCCCUUCUUCUCUGAUUCAAAACAAAGGAAGGUCAAGUAAGCAGAUUCAUUGAUUCCUUGGAGGGGAAAGUCAGCAGUUCCUUGAGGGUUUUCUGGGAGAGUCAACACUAAAGAACUGGGCUUACUUUCCCAUGGUACAGCUGCCCCAUGUUCUCUCACCAUCAGUCAGGCUACUGAUAGGGUCCUAGGGUGCUGAUAGGGUGAUGAGAAAUGGCCUUCCAACUCUCAAAACCUUAAUUUUCAUUUUAGGAGAAUGGUUUUUAUAAAUGUGCAUCAAUACCUUUGGCAUAUAUAUUCUGUAAAUUUUUGUUCUUGUGAGCUACCUGAUUUCUGUAUUUUUAAGUAGUAAACACAGAAAAUGAUUGCUCCAGGCCACAGUACCAACACCUACUCCCCCUAACACAUCUUCUUGGUUGUUUCUCAAAGAUCUUUCUCCAGGAUGAAAAAAUGGUAACCUAUGAUGCAUGCCCACAGUGAAAGGAAAUGUGCUCAUGUAACGAACUCUUUCUUCAUGUUCCAAAAUAUCCCAAUUGAUAAAGCCUUCUAAAUUACUAAGGAGAGUCUGAUGGAAGGAAUGUCUGAAAUGAAAAGGAGUUUUUAAAAGAUAGGGAUAAAUAAAUGUUCAUCAAAGGACACAAAGGGCUUUCCCACUGAAGAUCUUCAUUUCAUGAGAGAAUUCAUCAAUGAGAAUGUGAUGUACUAGAGUCAAGAUCAGCUCUGAGAAAUGAGUCAUCUUCUCAUGCAGAUGGGAAGACCCAGACCUGUACCAUUGGACGAGCUCACUGGGAUGAUCUCUACAAACCGUUACUGCAUCCAGCCCAGCCUGAGAAGGGUGGUAACACGGGGCAUUCCUUCGCCAACUUCUUUUUAUGACAAUGCAAUGUUUGAUAUUGCAUGCAAGUGCUCUGACAUCCUAGAACUCUGCUGAGGUUUCUGAAGAUGACCAGUGCUGCUUGUUCAGAAUGAAGGCACCUUCUCCCAAGUUCCAAGGCUGAGAGACUGUCUAUCAGUGGCACAUUUCUGAGUGCACACAUGAGCAUUUGGCUUUUUUUUGUGAACUCAAAAGUCAAAUGGAAAAAAAAAUUCCCAUUGAUCAGUAUCCACAGAAGCAAAUGGUUCUCAUUCAGACCCUUCAAACAAGAUGUCUGCAGCUUAGGCUCCCAAGUGUCAGUGCUUGAGGCUGGUUGUUCCAACGGUGGUGAUGGAGAGGUCUGUCCUCACAGAGCUGGGAGUUCCGCGGUUGCAGCUCAUAAGAGAUGGACCCCAGAGCCGGGUGCGGGGACUGCUCUGCAGUCUUCUGCUGUGAACAUCUCACUUCUUGAGUGCUGCCAAUAUGAAGACUACUACAGACUACCCCACUCCUCCUUCUGAAAGAUCAUCUAAUUUUACAGCUCCAAUGACUACAUCAAAGCUUUCCAAGUCAAUGGCCUCUUCAAUCCACCUGGAGAGCAGCUACAAAAUGUAACAAAGCAGCAUCCUCUGUUGAACAGAAGGCUUCAACCAAGUGAACCACAACUCUGCAGUCUGUGCCCAUGUACACCUUUCACCACACAGUGCUGGCACAUGGUUCUGGAAGCUAGGCAGUGAAUGGCACAAGACGGACAUCAAUGCACUUAACUCCAUCACUGACAAGAUGGAACAAAAGAUGGCAUCGGGGCUUUUGCUCUUGUCUGUUGGAAAGAAAUGAAGAAUUCUUUGCUCUGGGACAGAGAGUGAAGGUGAAGAGAAUUCUUCCUCAGCAGUUCUGCAAAAGCAAUGGAGGCAUAAGCCACAGCAAUCCAAACAGCAGAUGAGAAAACGUGCUUCCUUGAACCAAUCAAUUGCAUCUCCCAGUAUGUGUUGUAUUUAAAACAUAUGGGAGUUAUUCCUAAGUAUAUAGUGUUUUAUAUAAAAAUUUGAGUGGAAAUCUGUAUCACCUUCCAGGGUUUGAACCAUUUUCACACACAAUCAAGUGCUUUGUACAAGCUUAGUCUAGUCUUAUUGCCUCUGCACCUUAUGUUCUAAAUUUCCUUACUGUGUCCAUUGCACUAAAUGGUGCUUAACUCCCACAGAAUAAACAUGUGCAGAGGUGUGUUUUUAUUACCAUGUGGCAGAACGCCACCCCACAUCCAAGAGUGCGAGAUCUGAAAUGAGGCUUAGAGGUGACUUACUUCUUCCACGUAGUCUUUGGAGGCACUGAAUCCACAGAUGCUAUCAAAGGUUUGCUGUGGUCUGUGAUCUGCCAAGACUAAGUCAAGGCUAUGGAUUCUUACUUGAUUUCACUUUCCAUUUGUUAUUGGCUAGCUAACAGAGUGAAGCCUUUGCCUGGUUACUUAUGCAGAACAACCAGUUCAGAAAAACGAACAUCCAUAAAAAGAUUAUCCACAGCAGCUCUGUCUAGAAUAACCUUCAACUGAAAGCAAUAGUCACGACCAGUGACAGGGGAGUGCGUGCACACGCUGUGUUGUAUUUGACAGUGGAAAGUGGGUGCUUUUGAGAAUCCCCUGGCUAGCUCUUCUUGAUGUAGUAAUAAGAAGAGAAAGAUCUGCGUGGAUUAUCAUGAGGCCUUGUGCUCUUUGCUAUCCUACGUCACUUCUUCAGCUCAUCCAUCCAUAGUCUCUGUCUCUCUCUCUUCCCCCACUGCUGCUUUCUGUUAGCCAGUUACUUUAUAGACUUUUCUAAUACUGUACUUCCUGCUAGAUUCUCUCUUCUGUCUCUACCCAUGAAUCCUAUUUCACUGAAUACGAUAGCUGUAGCUCAGAUGUAGCAAAGACUCUGGGUUCCACUCACCAGCAGAAAAAAAAAAUGAAGACCACUUUCCAGGUUUAAACACGGAGCACGUUAGGAGGCUCUCACCUGGUCCACAUACCAGUCUACAGAGCUGCACGUGGGUCCCAAUGCUGCCUUGCCUUUCACUCUGGAUGAGUUUCAGAACCAAGGCAAGCCACAUUCAAUUCUGAGGCAGGAAAAUCAUUUGAGCCUGUAAUCUGAGGCUAGCCUGGGACAUAACUAUCCUGUGUCCCACAGAAUCCAUGUGACUUCUUCUCAACUGGACACCUACACUUACUCAGAUUCACUCUGUUGCUGCCAUGGGAAACACUCAGGAUUCUCCUCCAGCAGCUGCCAUUUGUGUCUACCCCAACGAAGCCAGCAUGUCCUUACCAAAGCCAGAUCUGGGCUUCAGUAAGACUUGUGCACUCCCUAAUUCCAAAGGCUAUCUUUUGAUCUGAGCUCUCUCUGAUCACCAAGAGUGACUAUGUCCACAUUCUGGAAGUCCCAGAUUAGACUGGCUUCUGGAAUACUACCUUCUGCUUGUCUCGCUUUAUCACUAGCGGCUCCUCCUCUGUGUCUUGUACCAGUCUCUCUCCUCUCCAUGGUGCCUGGAGGCUCUGUGUGGAUGUCUUGUCUUUACACUCACUCCCUACACGAUCUCCUCCAGAUUCAUGACUAGCCACCAACACAUCUCAAUCCCCAGCCAAGAUCUCAAGCCCACCUCCAGACUCCUGCAGCCACCCGCCUACAGAGCAUCUCCACUUGGAUGUCUGGAGGCUGCUCACCCUUAACCAUUUCUUGGCUGCCCCCUCCUUCAAAUCUGUUUCUCUCCCAGGAGCCCCCGUUUUAGUGAGGCCUACUUCAGUCUGAAAAUUGUUCACAGAGUGUGCAAAGUCAUCCCUGACUCCCGGCCUCCUCUCCCAGCCCACACUGAACCCACUGGCAGAUUCUGGCAGCCUCCCCUUCAAACGCACGCCCAGCAUGCACGCGAGUCUCAUCAUUCCUGCAGCUGCCACGUCUCCUGCCUAGACGACUGCAAUUCCUUCCAAUUUGUUUUCUCUUUCCUGCUUGUAGCAGGGAUUUUUUUUUUUAAUUUAAAGAUAGAAGGUAGCCAUUCUCCUCAAAAUAUGAGAAUUGCUUUCUGACUCUUUGUGGACAGUGGUCAAGAUCUCCACAGUGGUGCAAGAGACCUCCAUGCUCUGCGCCACGCCACCUGUUUGAUCUCCUUCCUCCACUGUCCCGCAGUUCCCUCUGUAGGUGCCUGCUUCUUUUUGGGUGGGAGCACUUGUUAAUUCCUCUGCCAGGAAGCAUCCUUCCUCUAAGUUUCUGCAUAUCCUUUAGGUAUGUGAGGCCUUCCCCCUCACCAUGUGCUAGCGAUCCUCUCCCCCCCCCCCCUUUACCGCCAUCCGACAGAGUAUGUGUGCAUCCAUUUACUCUUACUCCCCAAUAGAAUUCACUCUUCGUGAUGGCGAGCAUUGUUUUAUAUUCUCUGCUGUUUCCAAGGAAGACAAUGGGUACCACAAACACUGAAUAAAUGAGUAAUGGAGGAACACUAUACUUUUCAUUCAUCUCUCUCUCCCCAUCCACCCACCUCCGACCCAAGUGCUAAAGAUGGAACCCACAGCCUCACACAUGCUAGGCAAGUGCUUUACUAUACUAAGUAACAACCUAAGCAACAGGUUCCCUUUAUUUCCUGCACCCAAAACAUUAUAGAUAAGUUACAAUAUCAACAAAUUAUCUCACAGAGACCGGAAGCAGAACUGACAGUGCUGAAUCAAACCACGUGGAAAUUCAAUCUUGACUCUGUAUGAGAUCAAAACAGCACUUUAUGGCACCCCAAAUGGUUCAUUUGGUCAAAAUUUGUGAACAUGUUACUGUGAUUGAUCAUGAACUAGCUGCAGAGAGAAAUGGAGGAGGUUACACUAGAGGAGGGUGACUAUAGAGCAUGGCGUUUAUUAUCUGUGCAGGAGAGAAGUUUUUGUGAACUUGGCUUCCCUGUGGCUUUUGGUUAAAAGCCUAGACUGAUCUAGAUAGCUGAGUCCAAAACAGCAAACACACAGUCAAAUUAUUGGGUUACAUUAAUAUAUUAAAAAACCCUCCUCCAGCCAUUGUAAUAACUGAUACCAUCAUUUAGAAGACAGCACAAACAGGGCUAGGGGAGAUGGCUCAGUGCUUAAAAGGCUUAUUCUGAAGCAUGAGUUCAGAUCCCUAGGAUCCAUGUAAAAAGCCAGACAUGGCAGGUCUGAGCCUGUAACCCCAGCACUAGAGGGAUGGAGACAGGCAUAUCCUGAGGACUCACUGGCUAGUCAGUCUGGCUGAAUGGCAAGAUCCAUGUUUAGUGAGAAAUCCUGUCUCAAAAAAUAGUAUGAGGAAGUGAUUAAGGAAGACUCCAGCAUCUAUUCCUAGCUUCUGCAUUCACUCACAUACAUGUGCAAACAUGCAUACACUAUGCACACACAUACACACACUUUUAAGACAAAGCAUAUGUAACCAGUGAAAGUCCUUGGAAUGAGAACUCAGGUUUCUGAAAUUAGCACCAUAUAUUCAAUAAAUAAAUAAAUAAAUAUUAAGAAAAGAGGAGGGAGACAAAAAAAAAGGUGUUUUUCCUGGUAGAGCAGAGUAACUGGGAAGACUAAGAAACAGAAAGAACUGUGUUCAGAUGACACCAGUGAACAAGCAUUGUCUGUUUCCAAAACCCAAACCUAAACCAAAAAUCAAACCAAAUCAAUAGCAACAAAAAAAGAACAAAAGGGAACUCUACUUCGUGCAUGCGUGCAUGCGUGCGUGCGUGUGUGUGUGUGUGUGUGUGUGUGUGUGUGUGUGUGUGUGUGUGUGUGUGAUACUUUACAGCUUGUAAAUCUUUUCAGCUUAUGAUUGCUUCUACCCGGAUAACAUUUGUGUGGAUCACCUGUGUAGUCUAUGGUAUAUAUUUCAAUUUGUAUUUGCAUAUUUAUCAUGUUUCUAUGUUCUUCCACAGAGGGUUCUUUGGUCUGUAUUUUGGGAGUUGCAGAGAGCUGGACCCCUUCCCCGGGGAUCUCCUGAUAUACAAGAACACACCAGAAACCAGCCUCACUGGGGCUUCACAGGCCCUCUGUACACUGCAUUUCCUUGUUUAGUUUUGCUUGGUUUGACUUCAUGCCUAUUAGCCUCCUUGAGUCUUCUGCAGAUUGCCCUGGCCUAAUUUUUCUCUAGAAUCACAUCCUGGCCUCAGAAGACUUUGCAGACCUGAAACCCCAGUGGGCCUGUGAUUUCAAAUAAAGCGUUUAUGAAAAUGACAAGUAUAAACUGGCACAGUCUGUCCUGUAAAGCCGUCAAUCUUUGCAUGCUAGUUUUUCUUUUCCACACAAGGACGGGGGCUGGGGCUGUUCUCACAGGGAGCUCUAGGAGAGGUCAUCUGGGAAUGGGGUGAGGCCAUGUUCCCUGAAAUGGAAAUGGAUGCCCAGAGGUGAGGACGCACGGGAGCUUUGCAAACUCUAAGCGAAAGCUUAGCACACAUGUCAUUCAAAUAAACCUGGUUCAGACCAGUCUACGUAAUAGCUCUUGACAUGCAGGGAAGCCUGGAAGGAACGAAGGAAGAGCAGGACAGGGGACAAGCCAGUACAACUCCAGCAACUGAUGCUUUUCUACAGCGUAAGAAAUGGAUGUGGUCUUCUCUGGAUAAUCCAAGCUUAUUAAAUGUGUGAAAUUCCUGUGAUUCACUGUCCCUCCUGUUUUCUCAGUGACUUUUUCAAAUCUCGACUUGGCACUACCAGAAAUAAUAGAAUGCAGUGUCAAAUGAUGUCAUCGUUGUGUCUUUAAAUGCAAAAUGAUCUCAGACACUUCUCUGCUUGGGAUCCUGAAGGACUGCCCCCACUGAUGAGUGGUAAUAUAUGGGUACAUUAUUUCUUUGAGAUCAUGCAAAUGGGGCUUCUGAACUCAUUAUGGAAAAAUUA